UAGAUUUAAUUUUAAUCUUUUAUAAUAAUUUAAAAUUAUUAAUUAUAUAUAAAAUUUUAAAAUUUAAAAAAAAUUAUUUUAAUAUAUAAAAUUAUUUAUUAAUAAAAUUUUAAUUAAAAAUUAUUUUAAAUAUAAAUAAAAAUUGUGCCAGCAAUUGCGGUUAAUCAAUUUAUAUAAAUUAUUAAUAAUUAAUUAUAAUUAAUUUUUAAAAUAAAAAAUUUAUAAAUUUUAACUAUUGAUUAAAUAAAAAAUUAAUUUAAAUAAAUUUUUUUAAAAUUAAAUGAUUUAAAAAAUUUUUUAAAAAACUAGGAUUAGAUACCCUAUUAUUAAAACUAAAAAAAAAAUAAAUUUAAAUAUUAAAUAUUAAUUUAUUAAAUUUAAAAAAAUUGACGGUAUUUUUUUUUAGAUGAACUUGAAAUUUAAUUUGAUAAUACACAUUAUUAAUAACUAAUUUAAUAUUUUUAUAUAUUACUGUUUAAAUUUAAUUUUUUAAUUAAAAUUUUAAUUUUAAAUAAUUUAAAAUAAUUCAAGUCAAAAUAUAAAUUUAAAUUAGAAUAAUUUGAGUUACUUUAUAAUAUAAUUAUAUAUGUAUAUAAUACUUAAAAAAUUAUAUAUUAGAAUUUAAUAAUAAAUAUUUUUAUUUAAAAAUAUUAAAUUAAAAAUUAAAUAUGUACAUAUUGCCCGUCAUUUUUAUAUAAUUUUUUUAAAUAUUAUAUAAAACAAGUCGUAACAAAGUAAUUUAACUGGAAAGUUAAAUUAGAAUU
rnacentral:rRNA from 1 species